GCCAGCAGACACGUGCCUUCUCAUAUGAUGGAGUGUGGUGACUCUUCUCUGCUGCUCUGUGUUUACACAGCCAACUCUCAGGCAGGAUUCUCAACUGGACCAUACAAUGUGAACAUGGCAGAGGAUGCCUCAGGUGGAGAAGUCAUGUUAAGCAACUUGCAAUACCGGGGACUGAAGAAAGCUGAGAACCUGACAGCUCCAUGUUUCAAUUUGGAAAAUGAUAGGUAAGGAAAAUGAAGCUCAAUGAAGUCACAUUCACAAAGUAGGAAAAAGCGUAUGUGUCUCUUCAUGCCAAAUUUAGCAUAAUAGAACUGCUAUGUGACCUUAGUUAUGUUGCCAGUUUCCUUUAUGAUCAAAUUUUCUCAUCUGGAUACUGGGGAUGAAAACAGUAGUUGCCUCACAAAACAGUAUAUCAGUUAGGAUACCUUCAACUACCAAUACCAGAAUGGUGGUUUAACUAACGUAGACAUUGAUUAUUUUUCACUCCGAUGGCUUAAAGAUACAUGGUUCUAGGUUUAACUCUGCAGCCCAACAUCGUCAUCAUAGUCCCAGAGUUAUUUUAUCUGUUCACUGUGUCAUUAUCAGGGUGUUUAUGACAUCUUCCAGUCUGCCCACAUAGAGCAUCAUACAAAUCAUACAAGCAUCAUGCCCAUAUACCUUGUAGGAAAGGGCUGUACUGCAUAUCAUCCAUUUGCUCUUUUGCUCUUCCAGAUCCCCCCUCCCUUUUUAUUUUUUAUUUUUUUGGACACAGAGUCUCGCUCUGUCAUCCAGACUGGAGUGCAGUGGCACAAUCUUGGCUCACUGCAACCUCUGCCUCCUGGGUUCAAGCAAUUUUCCCAUCUCAGCCUCCCAAAUAGCUGGGACUACAGGCACACACCACCACGCCUGACCGAUUUUUGCACUGUUUAGUUGGGAUUUCACCAUGUUGACCAGGCUGGUCUCAAACUUCUGGGCUCAAGUGAUCCGCUGCCUCAGCCUCCCAAAGUACUGGAAUUACAGGCCUGAGCUACCACCUCUGGCCCCAGAUCCUCUCUUGACCCUUCUCUACCCAUUCUGUACCACAGGAGGGUGACUGGAAUGGACUACUUCUAACUGUGACUGAUUUCUGAUUCAUUUUAGCUAAUGAAAUCAUGAGUUUAAAAGUAGAAAGGCAAGUGGUGUUGGGAUAUUUAUUUCUCAUUCCUUCCUCCUUGCCAGGUCAUGUGGGUUGGAUGUUAACAGCCCCCUCAACACAGCUAUUCUUACCGGGAACUAAACACUGGGCCCUCCUUUGCUGCUUCACAGCAGCUCUUUUCUUGAAAACCUCCGGUUACUUCACUAUCUCUUGUUCAUAAUAGAUUAUUUAAAAAACUAUAUUACUUACUAUGCCAAUGAUUUUGUGCUACUUAUACUGGGUUGUUCUAUAUCUAUAUAUAUCUAUAUCUAUAUAGUCUUAGAGGCUAUUACUUAAGCAAUUUCUUCUCAAAUGAUUCACAAUUAAGAAGAGUUACCUAAAUUCUCAUAAAAUAGCCAUGAAUAGACAUAAGACAGUUUUACACCAUUAGAAGCAGUAACAGGCAACCAAAUUAUAGAACCAGAGAUAAUUCACAGUUAACUAUGAGAUAGAUUUAUUCUGUAUAUACAGAUAGAUAUAGAUCUAUCUAUAUCUUUCUAUCAAAAGCCAGAGAGAGAGAGAUAACUCCUGGAAUUUAUACUUCAUAAUAUAAAAUAAAGACCACCUAAAAUGCAAAAUGAGCUUUAUCGUUAUCCAUCAUUAGCCCUGUGAUUCCAAUCUUUAGGUCCUACACAAAUUUAAAACUAGAUUGCCCACCAACUUUUUUGAAGAGUAGCUUUAUAAAGUAGAGUACUAUUUAACUCAUUCUAGUUGCCUUUAAAACUGGUAGCAACAUACUUUUCUGUCCCUGUUUUAAACACUACUAUUACCAGGCAAAAGCAACUUAGCAAUUUGCGUUAAACAACUCUUGUUAUCAGAAGACUGGGAAAAAUAAUUAAAAUAGCAUAUUUUUUAAGUCCAAGAACUUGCUCAUCAUCAAGACUUGCUUCAAGACUCACCUUGCCACAUCCACUAGGUUAAAGCUACUAUCUUGUAAAUUUCUUAACGAUAACCAGUUUUAUACCUUACAACAUCCACCUUAAAGUCCUUCACUCCAGUCCUUAAGACCCCAUGAGUGUACUCCCCUGACCUUACCCCUCUCAGUCACUACUAAGAUUCAGUCAAUAUGGUGUUCUCUUUCAUUGCAGUGGGUCUAAUAAACUUAGUUUUGUGUGAUCAAUAUUUUUUUCUGGUGAAUUUUUGUGGGGGAGGGCAUGGUGUCAAUAUUUGACAGCCUUCUCCUUACUCUAAGCAGUGCUAGCAUCUUAGUCCACCAAGAUGGAGACUGUAAAUCCUAGAAUAAAAGUGCACAAGAAGUAAGGAUUUUGAGGGGUUGGAUCAAUACAUUCUGUGGUUUUAGAUUUUGUGAGUGGGUCAAGUACAGUAGGGAGUGUUGGUUAGAAAAAUAACCAGUGUAGCAGUUUACAUGUGUUUGAAAGUACAGGUUUUCAUGUAUUAACAUUGUCUCAGAGCAUCAAACCAAAAAGAGCUCAGGGAUAGGAUGAAAAUACAACUCUAAUAUGUUUUACUAGAAAAAGAGAAUCAGACUAAGAUAUGUGUACCUCAACCUGAUUUCAAAGUGUAGAUCUAAAAGAGGUACUAACCUACCCACUGAGUGGCAUAUAAACAGAGGGAUCUGCAAUACUCUUACACUUUUCUGACACAUACCUAUUGAGCUUAGAUUCA
rnacentral:lncRNA from 1 species